rnacentral:rRNA from 1 species
UACGUAGGGGGCAAGCGUUGUCCGGAAUCAUUGGGCGUAAAGAGCGUGUAGGCGGCCCGGUAAGUCCGCUGUGAAAGUCCAGGGCUCAACCCUGGGAUGCCGGUGGAUACUGUCGGGCUCGAGUCCGGAAGAGGAGUGUGGAAUUCCUGGUGUAGCGGUGAAAUGCGCAGAUAUCAGGAGGAACACCAGCGGCGAAGGCGGCACUCUGGGCUGGAACUGACGCUGAGGAGCGAAAGCGUGGGGAGCGAACAGG